GACGUAGGGCGCGAGCGUUGUCCGGAUUUAUUGGGCGUAAAGAGCUCGUAGGCGGCUUGUUGCGUCGACUGUGAAAACCCGCGGCUUAACUGCGGGCUUGCAGUUGAUACGGGCAGGCUAGAGUUCGGUAGGGGAGACUGGAAUUCCUGGUGUAGCGGUGAAAUGCGCAGAUAUCAGGAGGAACACCGGUGGCGAAGGCGGGUCUCUGGGCCGAUACUGACGCUGAGGAGCGAAAGCCAGGGGAGCGAACGGG
rnacentral:rRNA from 1 species